rnacentral:rRNA from 1 species
GUAAGGAAUAUUGGACAAUGGACGCAAGUCUGAUCCAGCCCUGCCGCGUGAAGGAUUAAGGUCCUCUGGAUUGUAAACUUCUUUUAUAAGGGACGAAAUAAGGCUUUUCUAAGUCGUCUGACGGUACCUUAUGAAUAAGCACCGGCUAACUCCGUGCCAGCAGCCGCGGUAAUACGGAGGGUGCAAGCGUUAUCCGGAUUCACUGUGUUUAAAGGGCGCGUAGGCGGGCAGGUAAGUCAGUGGUGAAAGCCUAGAGCUUAACUCUAGAACUGCCAUUGAUACUAUCUGUAUUGAAUAUUGUGGAGGUAAGCGGAAUAUGUCAUGUAGCGGUGAAAUUCUUAGAUAUGACAUAGAACACCUAUUGCGAAGGCAGCUUACUACGCAUAUAUUGACGCUGAGGCACGAAAGCGUGGGGAUCAAACAGGAUUAGAUACCCUUGUAGUCC